GGGUGAUCCCAGAUGUAUUAGUUUGUGUUUACAACUAACUGACCACAACCAGUUACAUAUUUCUUUUUUCCUUUUCCAUGCCCACUGCUUUACUUGACUAACCUUUA
rnacentral:Y_RNA from 1 species